rnacentral:rRNA from 1 species
UACGGAGGAUGCGAGCGUUAUCCGGAUUUAUUGGGUUUAAAGGGAGCGUAGGCGGGUUGUUAAGUCAGUUGUGAAAGUUUGCGGCUCAACCGUAAAAUUGCAGUUGAAACUGGCAGUCUUGAGUACAGUAGAGGUGGGCGGAAUUCGUGGUGUAGCGGUGAAAUGCUUAGAUAUCACGAAGAACUCCGAUUGACGAAGGCAGCUCACUGGACUGCAACUGACACUGAGGCUCGAAAGUGUGGUGAUCAACAGGAUAGAUACCGUGUACGUCC